rnacentral:siRNA from 1 species
UCAAUGUCCUGGUUUCAUACAAAC